UUUAUGCAUAUCUUGGCAAUUACAGUAUUUAUUUUUAAUCACAACUUUGAUAAUCUUUAGUUACAUCUUCUGCGGCUUCUAUGACUCUUCCAGGUAUUCAACCUUCUGCUGGUUGGAUACGACUGGGCAGGAAGGGGGGCGUUUGGCGUGGCACAUGUCCCGUCCCUUAUGUCAACUUAUACACCACUUGUAUAUGCUGUAAAGUAAGAAAAUUUAAUUUAAAAUUUUUCAUACAAAAUAUAAUCAUUGUUUUUUAGGUUCAAAUAUUUAUAACAAUGUAGCAUUUCACUACGAGGGUGUUAAAACGUAACAAAGUCAUCAACACUUCAAUCUAAAAUAGACCACUAAUAUUUGGAAAUGGAUUGGAAGCAAAUUGGAACAAUUUUUUGUGUAUAAAGAUGACAUAUUUUAUCAGAAAAACACUCUUUCGUGUGAAAAACUUGU
rnacentral:lncRNA from 1 species